GGAAUGACUGGGCGUAAAGGGCGCGUAGGCGGCUCGGCACGUCCGUUGUGAAAUCGCCCGGCUCAACUGGGCGGGGUCGGCGGAUACGGCCGAGCUGGAGCAAGCUAGGGGGUAAUGGAAUUCCCGGUGUAGUGGUGGAAUGCGUAGAUAUCGGGAGGAACACCAGUGGCGAAGGCGGUUACCUGGAGCUUUGCUGACGCUGAUGCGCGAAAGCGUGGGGAGCGAGUCCGG
rnacentral:rRNA from 1 species